AGUGAACGCUGGCGGUAGGCCUAACACAUGCGAGUCGAACGGCAGCACAGUAAGAGCUUGCUCUUACGGGUGGCGAGUGGCGGACGGGUGAGGAAUACAUCGGAAUCUACUUUUUCGUGGGGGAUAACGUAGGGAAACUUACGCUAAUACCGCAUACGACCUACGGGUGAAAGCAGGGGAUCUUCGGACCUUGCGCGAUUGAAUGAGCCGAUGUCGGAUUAGCUAGUUGGCGGGGUAAAGGCCCACCAAGGCGACGAUCCGCAGCUGGUCUGAGAGGAUGAUCAGCCACACUGGAAGUGAGACACGGUCCCGACUCCUACGGGAGGAAGCAGUGGGGAAUACUGGACAAUGGGGGCAAGCCUGAUCCAGCCAUACCGCGUGGGUGAAGAAGGCCUUCGGGUUCUAAAGCCCUUUUGUUGGGAAAGAAAAGCAGCAGGUUAAUACCCCGCUGUUCUGACGGUACCCAAAGAAUAAGCACCGGCUAACUUCGUG
rnacentral:rRNA from 1 species